CUUGUAGCAUCAGUGGAGGUACGUGUAAACAAAACCUCUUAGGACUUCUGUUCUAACUACAAGAUGCCAUCUAGAAAUCAGAGGUGUGUGAUGUGCGGGGUGUCCUAUUGUAUUGUAUCCCCCAGCACCUCAGUAAAUUUCAUGGAGUUGUAAAUCAGGAGGAGGAGAAGGCAUUGCUUCUUCAAUUGUCCGGUGGACGGGUUAAGGGAACUUUUAUUUGCUGCGUUCCUGGCUGCCACAAAAAAGUGCAGCGGCUCGACAAGCACAAUCACGUAUUGUGUACAUUUUUUUGGAUAAAUUAAUAAUUUCAUGGUAAGUUAAAAGUAUAACUAAAAACAUUUCUCUAUGUUUUUAUACUUUAUUCGUUUUUCAGACGAUUCUCUUGGAAGAGUACACCUUUUCAGCCAAAAAGGCAUACAUUAUCGAGCAACUUGGGCAAUUAGGGGCGAAAAAUCCUGAAAUUCCUAUGGUUUCAGUGUUGGAUAUUUUCCCUCAACCCAAUGUAGUGGUUCUUUCAGGUUGCACUAGUGAGGCUUCAAGCAACACAAGCGUCAAACAGGAGACACCUGAAUGCAGCCAGGAUGCAACCAGCUAUCUAAGAUGUCACUCUCUGUCAUGAACAGCCCUAACAUAAAAUUGCGAAAGAAGCUUAUUAGAAAACAGGAAUUUGAUCAUGACACCAACCCCAAAUACGCUCAAGUCCUGACAAAAUUUGAAAACUACGUUGUUGGCUCCAGCGAUUCCCCAAAGAAGCGCGACAAUGCCCGCACCAGUGUGAGCCACAUCAAGCGCUUCUUAAUUUUUGCAAGUGAUGGAAAGCUCCACACUGGGGAUUUCAGCUUUCUAACUAAUGCAGAUUGCCUAAUUCAGUAUUUUAUAUUUUAAUGGUAAAUUUGGGAUGCUAUUUUGAUGUUUAUUUUGAUGUUUUGUGUUUUGUUUUUUUCUGUAUUUUUAGGUGACUGUCCC